rnacentral:rRNA from 1 species
AUUGAACGCUGGCGGCAGGCCUAACACAUGCAAGUCGAGCGGCAGCGGAAAGUAGCUUGCUACUUUGCCGGCGAGCGGCGGACGGGUGAGUAAUGUCUGGGAAACUGCCCGAUGGAGGGGGAUAACUACUGGAAACGGUAGCUAAUACCGCAUAACGUCGCAAGACCAAAGAGGGGGACCUUCGGGCCUCUUGCCAUCGGAUGUGCCCAGAUGGGAUUAGCUAGUAGGUGGGGUAACGGCUCACCUAGGCGACGAUCCCUAGCUGGUCUGAGAGGAUGACCAGCCACACUGGAACUGAGACACGGUCCAGACUCCUACGGGAGGCAGCAGUGGGGAAUAUUGCACAAUGGGCGCAAGCCUGAUGCAGCCAUGCCGCGUGUAUGAAGAAGGCCUUCGGGUUGUAAAGUACUUUCAGCGGGGAGGAAGGUGUUGAGGUUAAUAACCUCAGCAAUUGACGUUACCCGCAGAAGAAGCACCGGCUAACUCCGUGCCAGCCGCCGCCGUAA